rnacentral:tRNA from 1 species
GGACAAUUAGCUCAGCUGGCUAGAGCGCAUCGUUGACAUCGAUGAGGUCACUGGUUCAAGUCCAGUAUUGUCCA